rnacentral:rRNA from 1 species
CCUACGGGUGGCAGCAGUGGGGAAUAUUGGACAAUGGGGGGAACCCUGAUCCAGCCAUGCCGCGUGUGUGAAGAAGGCCCUCGGGUUGUAAAGCACUUUCAGUGAGGAAGAACGCCUGGUGGUUAAUACCCAUCAGGAAAGACAUCACUCACAGAAGAAGCACCGGCUAACUCCGUGCCAGCAGCCGCGGUAAUACGGAGGGUGCGAGUGUUAAUCGGAAUUACUGGGCGUAAAGCGCGCGUAGGUGGCUUGAUAAGCCGGUUGUGAAAGCCCCGGGCUCAACCUGGGAACGGCAUCCGGAACUGUCAAGCUAGAGUGCAGGAGAGGAAGGUAGAAUUCCCGGUGUAGCGGUGAAAUGCGUAGAGAUCGGGAGGAAUACCAGUGGCGAAGGCGGCCUUCUGGACUGACACUGACACUGAGGUGCGAAAGCGUGGGUAGCAAACAGGAUUAGAUACCCCGGUAGUC